rnacentral:rRNA from 1 species
AUUGAACGCUGGCGGCAGGCCUAACACAUGCAAGUCGAACGGUAACAGGGAUCAGCUUGCUGAUUCGCUGACGAGUGGCGGACGGGUGAGUAAUGUCUGGGAAACUGCCUGAUGGAGGGGGAUAACUACUGGAAACGGUAGCUAAUACCGCAUAACGUCGCAAGACCAAAGAGGGGGACCUUCGGGCCUCUUGCCAUCGGAUGUGCCCAGAUGGGAUUAGCUAGUAGGUGGGGUAACGGCUCACCUAGGCGACGAUCCCUAGCUGGUCUGAGAGGAUGACCAGCCACACUGGAACUGAGACACGGUCCAGACUCCUACGGGAGGCAGCAGUGGGGAAUAUUGCACAAAGGGCGCAAGCCUGAUGCAGCCAUGCCGCGUGUAUGAAGAAGGCCUUCGGGUUGUAAAGUACUUUCAGCGGGGAGGAAGGGAGUAAAGUUAAUACCUUUGCUCAUUGACGUUACCCGCAGAAGUAGCACCGGCUAACUCCGUG